CGUAAGAUGGCUGAGUGGUUGAGUCGUGUGACUCAAGCUGUUGAAAGCUUCCCUUCCCAUGGGGAAACCCCGCCUGGGUUCAAACCCCAGUAUUACCGUGUUUUUAUGA